rnacentral:rRNA from 1 species
GUGCCAGCCGCCGCGGUAAUACAGAGGUCCCGAGCGUUGUUCGGAUUCACUGGGCGUAAAGGGUGCGUAGGUGGUGGGAUAAGUCGGAUGUGAAAUCUCGGAGCUCAACUCCGAAACUGCAUUGGAAACUGUCCUGCUAGAGGGUUGGAGGGGGGACUGGAAUACUUGGUGUAGCAGUGAAAUGCGUAGAUAUCAAGUGGAACACCGGUGGCGAAGGCGAGUCCCUGGACAACACCUGACACUGAGGCACGAAAGCUAGGGGAGCAAACAGGAUUAGAAACCCGCGUAGUCC